GGAAGGGAAGCGUUCCUGGUGGUGCGGCCGGAUUUCAAAUCCGGUUGGUGGUGUCAGUCGCUCCCGGGCGGGUUCCACUUCCGCUUCCACUUCCA
rnacentral:tRNA from 1 species